ensembl:lincRNA predicted gene, 26910
GGGCGGAGCCUGCGUCCGGACCUCGCUGCAGCAGCAGACGAAGCAGGGAGACGAGACAGAGGAGGAUGGAAAACUGAAAGCGCCUUCCGGGGUCAGCCUGGGGGUGUGCGCCUCCGAAAACACGUGAUCCGUGCACAGAGCGAGUAGACACUUCCCGCAGCCUAUUUGAGUGGGAGGUUCAACCGCGUAACCAGAACUUCUUAGGAAUGAUGGGGACGCCCAAAGUUGUGGCUUAGGGAGUCCCGCUCAGCGAGUGCAAAGUCCGCCCGAAGGAUGAAAUUGAAGAGGAGUGGAGAACCUGAAGCAGCGGUCAGUGAUGAAAGAUGGCACAAGUACAGCAGGCUCAAGGGUGUCAGCAAAACAGAAUGUGGAAAAAGACUUUCUAGAAAGUCACCUGGGGUGAUGGCAAGACCCAAAAGGAUAUCCAAUAUUUACUUGAAUGGAGCCAGUCUUUAAUGGAGAAUUCCAGCUCCAGAGAAUCUGAAACAUCUGGAUUCCUUGAGGAUCUACACUCUUCCUGCACACAACAGAUAAACAUACACACAGAGACAUAAAUAAAAGUAAUCCUUUCUGAGAUUUUAUUCCUAUUUUAGAGGUAGAGCCCAAGUCCAUCAGCUGUGUGUAAAACUAAUAACUAUUCAUUAAUUCCCAGAAACAAAACACACUAUAAUAAAAAAGUACAAUUAAGUCUAUACUUUUAAAAGUA